rnacentral:rRNA from 1 species
GAUGAACGCUGGCGGCGUGCCUAAUACAUGCAAGUCGAGCGAACAGACGAGGAGCUUGCUCCUCUGACGUUAGCGGCGGACGGGUGAGUAACACGUGGAUAACCUACCUAUAAGACUGGGAUAACUUCGGGAAACCGGAGCUAAUACCGGAUAAUAUAUUGAACCGCAUGGUUCAAUAGUUCAAGACGGUUUUGCUGUCACUUAUAGAUGGAUCCGCGCCGCAUUAGCUAGUUGGUAAGGUAACGGCUUACCAAGGCGACGAUGCGUAGCCGACCUGAGAGGAUGAUCGGACACACUGGAAAUGAGACACGGUCCAGACUCCGACGGGAGGCAGCAGUAGGGAAUAUUGCGCAAGGGGCGAAAGCGUGAUAGAGCAAAAUCGCGUGAGUGAUGAAGGACUUCGGAUGGUAAAGCGCUGUUGUUAGGAAAGAAAAAAAGCAGGUUUAACCAUGAUCGUAAUGACGGUACCUAAAGAAUAAGCACCGGCUAACUACGUG